rnacentral:rRNA from 1 species
AUGAACGCUGGCGGCGUGCCUAAUACAUGCAAGUCGAGCGAACAGACGAGGAGCUUGCUCCUCUGACGUUAGCGGCGGACGGGUGAGUAACACGUGGAUAACCUACCUAUAAGACUGGGAUAACUUCGGGAAACCGGAGCUAAUACCGGAUAAUAUAUUGAACCGCAUGGUUCAAUAGUGAAAGACGGUUUUGCUGUCACUUAUAGAUGGAUCCGCGCCGCAUUAGCUAGUUGGUAAGGUAACGGCUUACCAAGGCGACGAUGCGUAGCCGACCUGAGAGGGUGAUCGGCCACACUGGAACUGAGGCACGGUCCAGACUCCUACGGGAGGCAGCAGUAGGGAAUCUUCCGCAAUGGGCGAAAGCCUGACGGAGCAACGCCGCGUGAGUGAUGAAGGUCUUCGGAUCGUAAAACUCUGUUAUUAGGGAAGAACAAAUGUGUAAGUAACUAUGCACGUCUUGACGGUACCUAAUCAGAAAGCCACGGCUAACUACGUG